UACGUAGGGUGCGAGCGUUGUCCGGAAUUACUGGGCGUAAAGAGCUCGUAGGUGGUUUGUCGCGUUGUUCGUGAAACCUCACGGCUUAACUGUGAGCGUGCGGGCGAUACGGGCAGACUAGAGUACUGCAGGGGAGACUGGAAUUCCUGGUGUAGCGGUGGAAUGCGCAGAUAUCAGGAGGAACACCGGUGGCGAAGGCGGGUCUCUGGGCAGUAACUGACGCUGAGGAGCGAAAGCGUGGGGAGCGAACAGGAUUAGAGUACCCUGGUAGUCCACGCCGUAAACGGUGGGUACUAGGUGUGGGUUUCCUUCCCUUGGGAUCCGUGCCGUAGCUAACGCAUUAAGUACCCCG
rnacentral:rRNA from 1 species